rnacentral:rRNA from 1 species
ACGCGUGAAACCUUACCAUCCUUUGACAUGGCGUGUUACCCAGAGAGAUUUGGGGUUCCGACUUCGUGGCGCGCACACAGGUGCUGCAUGGCUGUCGUCAGCUCGUGUCGUGAGAUGUUGGGUUAAGUCCCGCAACGAGCGCAACCCCACGUCCUUAGUUGCCAUCAUUCAGUUGGGCACUCUAGGGAGACUGCCGGUGAUAAGCCGCGAGGAAGGUGUGGAUGACGUCAAGUCCUCAUGGCCCUUACGG